UGACUGUGAUGCUCAGCUCCGGCUCAUCUUUGUAUCUUUCCAUGAGACGACGCACCUCAGAAAGCACCUGCAACAGGUCUAAUAAAUGGUAAUUCAGUGGAGAAGAGAGGCCUAUCCAUUUCUUCAAAUAGAUUAUUCAGAUAGAUCAGAUCCAAAAACCCAGACUCCACCUUCACCAAGCGGUCUCCAUGGCUCAGCCCGACAGGCUUGAGGCAGUCCAU